UUACUACUCCCUCCGUUCGAAAUUACUCGUCUCGGAAAUGGAUGUAUCUAGAACUAAAAUACGUCUAGAUACAUCCAUUUCUGCGACAAGUAAUUCCGAACAGAGAGAGUAAAUG
rfam:Triticum aestivum genome assembly, contig: Triticum_aestivum_CS42_TGACv1_scaffold_288473_4AL